UUAUCGAAAAUUGGUUAA
rnacentral:miRNA from 1 species